rfam:Olsenella sp. oral taxon 807 strain F0089, complete genome.
GGGGGUGACUGGUUUCGACAGGGUAUGUUUGAGGUGGGCAGCAAGCCGUGGUCUCCUCGCCACGCUAAACAGGGGUACCGUCAAAUCUAAUUGACGACGAAGAUUCUUAUCAGGGCGAGUACGCCCUCGCUGCUUAACAUAUAAGUAGCCGUCUAACGGGAAGUCUCUCCCGCUUCCCGGGCGACGUCAUCUGAGGGAGAUGCGCGCGUGGACGUGGUUGGUAUGCCGUGCGCUAAGUUUGAACCAGCUGGGACGGAAAGCGUCCGUCACCGGACGAUCCCGUCUAAGAUAUUAGCGGUGACUGAGCUUGGAGACACCUGCCAGGAAUAUGCUUUGGACCGGAGUUCGACUCUCCGCACCUCCACCA